rnacentral:rRNA from 1 species
CAGCCGCCACGGUAAUACGUAGGGUGCGAGCGUUAAUCGGAAUUACUGGGCGUAAAGCGUGCGCAGGCGGUUAUAUAAGACAGAUGUGAAGUCCCCGGGCUCAACCUGGGACCUGCAUUUGUGACUGUAUAGCUAGAGUACGGUAGAGGGGGAUGGAAUUCCGCGUGUAGGGGUGAAAUUCGUAGAUAUUGGGAAGAACACCGGUGGCGAAGGCGGCGACCUGGACCAUUUCUGACGCUGAUGCACGAAAGCUAGGGGAGCAAACAGGAUUAGAUACCCCCGUAGUCCCUGUCUCUUAUAC